rnacentral:rRNA from 1 species
UGCAAGUCGAGCGAGCGGAACCAACAGAUUUACUUCGGUAAUGACGUUGGGAAAGCGAGCGGCGGAUGGGUGAGUAACACGUGGGGAACCUGCCCCUAAGUCUGGGAUACCAUUUGGAAACAGGUGCUAAUACCGGAUAAUAAAGCAGAUCGCAUGAUCAGCUUUUGAAAGGCGGCGUAAGCUGUCGCUAAGGGAUGGCCCCGCGGUGCAUUAGCUAGUUGGUAAGGUAACGGCUUACCAAGGCGACGAUGCAUAGCCGAGUUGAGAGACUGAUCGGCCACAUUGGGACUGAGACACGGCCCAAACUCCUACGGGAGGCAGCAGUAGGGAAUCUUCCACAAUGGACGCAAGUCUGAUGGAGCAACGCCGCGUGAGUGAAGAAGGUUUUCGGACCGUAAAGCUCUGUUGUUGGUGAAGAAGGAUAGAGGUAGUAACUGGCCUUUAUUUGACGGUAA